UUUAAAUAUUAGCAUUAAUCUUUUUUCCUCUAUUUAUUAGUUCAGGAAUCCAACUAAUGGUCAGAGAGAAAUGGAAGUUAUGACCACUGCAGAAGAUUAUGGUUUCAAUAUUUUGCUCUGCCAAAUUCCAGAAAGCAGCUAUUUUAUUGAUGGCAACACUACAAACCGCUUUAGGGUGAGACAACAUGCAGUUUCAGUUGUAUUCUUAAUGGCCUUUUAUGUCUGAAGACUUUGCAAACACUACAGAAACCACUUAAAGCAAAGAUGUGACUUUCAGA